UACGUAGGCAGCAAGCGUUGUUCGGAAUUACUGGGCGUAAAGAGUGUGUAGGCGGUGCUCUAAGUUUGGUGUGAAAUCUCCCGGCUUAACCGGGAGGCUGCAUCGAAUACUGGAAUGCUAGAGGGUGGGAGAGGUAAGCGGAAUUCCUGGUGUAGCGGUGAAAUGCGUAGAUAUCAGGAGGAACACCUGUGGCGAAAGCGGCUCUCUGGACCACAACUGACGCUGAGGCGCGAAAGCUAGGGGAGCAAACAGG
rnacentral:rRNA from 1 species